CCUACGGGUGACAGCAGUGAGGAAUCUUGGUCAAUGGACGAGAGUCUGAACCAGCCAAGUAGCGUGAAGGAUGACUGCCCUAUGGGUUGUAAACUUCUUUUAUCAAUGAAUAAAACGAGGCACGUGUGCCUUUUUGCAUGUACUUUAUGAAUAAGUAUCGGCUAACUCCGUGCCAGCAGCCGCGGUCAUACGGAGGAUGCGAGCGUUAUCCGGAUUUAUUGGGUUUAAAGGGUGCGCAGGCGGCCUGUUAAGUCAGCGGUAAGAGCCCGGGGCUCAACCCCGGCGAGCCGUUGAAACUGGCGGGCUGGAGUUGGAGAGAAGUACGCGGAAUGGGCGGUGGAGCGGUGAAAUGAUUAGAUAUCGCGCAGAACCCCGAUUGCGAAGGCAGCGUACCGGCUCCACACUGACGCUGAGGCACGAAAGCGUGGGUAUCGAACAGGAUUAGAUACCCCUGUAGUC
rnacentral:rRNA from 1 species